UUGAAAGGGAAACGAUUGAAGUCAGUCAUACCAACGGGAAAUCAACCUUUUGAGCUUGGUCUCGUGGGUUUUGAAGAGUUUCAAAGCCUUCGGAUUCGCGGGAUUGGGAUCUCUUGGUGUACUUUUUCGUACGGUUAGUCAACAUCGGUUUUGAAUGUCAUAAAAUGACUGGAGGAAUGUAGCUUCGAUCUCGUAUCGAAGUGUUAUAGCCUUUGGUAGAUGUGAUGUUUGAGACCGAGGAUUGCAACGGAUACCCUUCAGGGCUAUUCGUCUGAUCUCUGAUACGUUGCCUUGAUGUUGAAAGCUUGCUUAUGAUGUUAGGGUAUUACGGUCAAAAGGUUAGAACGAAUUACAUUCGUUAAGGAUGUUGACGUA
rnacentral:rRNA from 1 species